rnacentral:lncRNA from 1 species
AAAUAGGCACGAGAAGAAUGGUGGCAGCAGCAGAACUUUGCGUCGAGUUUUGGCCAAUGUUGCCUAAAGGCCAACCGGCCCUGGACCGUGGCCCGAUUGUUACCGCGCGUCAGUGGUAUCACCCCGUCACCGCCCCGUCGUCGGACCUGUCGUAGACAGCGACGCCUCUCACCGCGCGCCGGGCGGGCCAAACUAUUCUCCGUCCUCGACGCGGCUCUUUGCGUCGAGCCACAUGAGGCUGCUGCCCUCGUGCGCUUAUGGCGUGGCCCUGCACGUGGACUUGGACCCAUCCGCUGUCGGCCGCACGCUACCAUAACACCGGAACCUGUAAUCGGGGUUUCCCCCUCUUCCUUUCGCCUUAUCGCUUUGCGUGCGCUCCCGUGUGCCUUGUCUUUUUGUUGGAG